UGUCGCGUUGUUCGUGAAAUCUCACGGCUUAACUGUGAGCGUGCGGGCGAUACGGGCAGACUUGAGUACUGCAGGGGAGACUGGAAUUCCUGGUGUAGCGGUGGAAUGCGCAGAUAUCAGGAGGAACACCGGUGGCGAAGGCGGGUCUCUGGGCAGUAACUGACGCUGAGGAGCGAAAGCGUGGGGAGCGAACAGGAUUAGAUACCCUGGUAGUCCACGCCGUAAACGGUGGGUACUAGGUGUGGGUUUCCUUCCUUGGGAUCCGUGCCGUAGCUAACGCAUUAAGUACCCCGCCUGGGGAGUACGGCCGCAAGGCUAAAACUCAAAGAAAUUGACGGGGGCCCGCACAAGCGGCGGAGCAUGUGGAUUAAUUCGAUGCAACGCGAAGAACCUUACCUGGGUUUGACAUGCACAGGACGCCGGCAGAGAUGUCGGUUCCCUUGUGGCCUGUGUGCAGGUGGUGCAUGGCUGUCGUCAGCUCGUGUCGUGAGAUGUUGGGUUAAGUCCCGCAACGAGCGCAACCCUUGUCUCAUGUUGCCAGCGGGUAAUGCCGGGGACUCGUGAGAGACUGCCGGGGUCAACUCGGAGGAAGGUGGGGAUGACGUCAAGUCCUCAUGGCCCUUAUGGGUAGGGCUUCACACGUCAUACAAUGGUCGGUACAGAGGGUUGCCAAGCAGCGAUGCGGAGCCAAUCCCAGAAAGCCGAUCGUAGUCCGGAUCGGAGUCUGCAACUCGACUCCGUGAAGUCGGAAUCGCU
rnacentral:rRNA from 1 species